CACACAGUAAACGAUGAAUACUCGCUGUUUGCGAUAUACAGUAAGCGGCCAAGCGAAAGCAUUAAGUAUUCCACCUGGGGAGUACGCCGGCAACGGUGAAACUCAAAGGAAUUGACGGGGGCCCGCACAAGCGGAGGAACAUGUGGUUUAAUUCGAUGAUACGCGAGGAACCUUACCCGGGCUCGAACGGCAUAUGAAGCGGAGAGAGAUUUUCGCGCCCUUCGGGGCAUAUGUCGAGGUGC
rnacentral:rRNA from 1 species